GCACUAAUGGGGUAGUGGUAACCUCGGAGUUUCCCAUCUUCUGAAGAUACUUACUCUGGCCCCGUGUUCGAUUCACGGUUAGUGCA